rnacentral:ncRNA from 2 species
UUCUUAUCGAGAGCGGCGGAGGGACUGGCCCGAUGAAGCCCGGCAACCGUCUUGUGCGGAAUCGGCUGCGGUCACGCAGGGUCCGGAGGAGCAAGCUCCGGGCGAGACGCUUCCGCACAAGAUUUGGUGCCAACUCCUGCGGAAGGCGCGCCUUGCGUAUCGCGGGUG